rnacentral:lncRNA from 1 species
UCAUCUCUUCUCAUUUUUCUUCUCUUUAUCCUUCAUGCUGCUGCAAGAUGGGGAGAAGGUGAACAAUCAGUCGGAGCUCUGAUUGCUUACCUUGUCUGUCACCUCUUUCAGCAGACCCCCUAGCUCGGCGACUUGGGGGACUCUUACUACAUGGUUUGUAUCGCGCUUGACCAAGCCUGAAACUAUAAGUAAGCUUCAAGUGAAAUUGAUACAUUACCUUGUGCAUCUCCACCAGUUAAAGAUACCACCCCUGGAUGGAGGAAGAGUACUUCCAGAGAAGAUGCCACAUCUACCUAUGAGACAGAUAAGGCAAGUCAAGAC